rnacentral:rRNA from 1 species
AGUGAACGCUGGCGGCGUGCCUAACACAUGCAAGUCGAACGAUGAUGGAGGAGCUUGCUCUUCCUGAUUAGUGGCGCACGGGUGAGUAAUGCAUAGAUAAUGUGCCCCUUAGUUCGGGAUAGCCACUGGAAACGGUGAUUAAUACCGGAUACUCCUUCUUGUCCUAAGAUAAGUCGGGAAAGUUUUUCGCUAAGGGAUCAGUCUAUGUUCCAUCAGUUAGUUGGUGAGGUAACGGCUCACCAAGACAAUGACGGAUAUCUGGUUUGAGAGGAUGAUCAGACACAAUGGAACUGAGACACGGUCCAGACUCCUACGGGAGGCAGCAGUGAGGAAUAUUGCACAAUGGAAGAAACUCUGAUGCAGCAACGUCGCGUGGAGGAUGACGCAUUUCGGUGUGUAAACUCCUUUUAUUAGGGAAGAUUAUGACGGUACCUAAGGAAUAAUCACCGGCUAACUCCGUGCCAGCCGCCGCAGUAA